UUAGUACCUUCUGCUCAAUGUAAAUAGCCGCAGUACUCUGACUGUGCAAAGGUAGCAUAAUAAUUUGGCUUAUAAUUGAAGUCUGGAAUAAAUGAAAACUGGAUAAUUCUGUAUCAAUUAUAAUUAUAACUUACUAAAAGAGUGAAAAUUCUCUUUUUAUAAUUAGACGAGAAGACCCUAGAAAUUUUCAUUUUUGUUGGGGCAACAAUUUACUAAUAUAUAAAAUAAAUUUUAAAAUAUAAAAUUACUCUAGGGAUAACAGCAUAAUUUAUAAAGAUUGUGACCUCGAUGUUGGAUUAGGUAAAAUUAAAA
rnacentral:rRNA from 1 species